ensembl:lncRNA
CUGACCUGGGAUCCGCCCCUGGGCAGGGCCAACUCCAGCUCCUGCACACCUGGAGCCUAUUGCAGGCUAUCAAGCCAGAGGGAUUUAAACCACACAUCGAUGUUCACUCACUGCCAGUUCGUCAUCAACCCAUUCGCUGUACCCACCCUGGCUCACUCCACCUCCGGACUCGGAAUACCUAGUGAUCAUUUUGGAAAUCCCUCUGUGCCUCACCUGCCUGCCCUCCUGCCAUCACACUCCAUCUGGAGCCCCGGAUCUCAGGUCAGCCUUUCCACGCCACUCAGCCUCCCCUGGAUCUUCAUCAUCCCCCUCUCAAACACUCCAGGUCCCUAACUGCAAAUGUGACUGUUCCCCACUCAGCUCCGUUCCACUUCUCAGGCCUCGUUCCCUCGCCCUAGCCACGUUCCCCUGGGCACGCCACACCAAGGCUCCACGUCUCGUCAUUUUCUGUCUUUGCC